rnacentral:rRNA from 1 species
GGCCAGACUCCUACGGGAGGCAGCAGUGGGGAAUAUUGCACAAUGGGGGAAACCCUGAUGCAGCGACGCCGCGUGAGUGAAGAAGUAUUUCGGUAUGUAAAGCUCUAUCAGCAGGGAAGAAAAUGACGGUACCUGACUAAGAAGCCCCGGCUAACUACGUGCCAGCAGCCGCGGUAAUACGUAGGGGGCAAGCGUUAUCCGGAUUUACUGGGUGUAAAGGGAGCGUAGACGGCAUGGCAAGUCAGAUGUGAAAGCCCGGGGCUCAACCCCGGGACUGCAUUUGAAACUGUCAGGCUGGAGUGCAGGAGAGGUAAGUGGAAUUCCUAGUGUAGCGGUGAAAUGCGUAGAUAUUAGGAGGAACACCAGUGGCGAAGGCGGCUUACUGGACUGUAACUGACGUUGAGGCUCGAAAGCGUGGGGAGCAAACAGGAUUAGAUACCCCAGUAG